AACUCUACUACUAUAACUCCAUUCACUUCAACUGCUUCCCUCACAAUCACAAACAGCACUGAUGCAACUACAUCAACAAGUCUCACCACUUCAGCACCUACAGUUACUACAGGUUGUUCGGGUCCACCAGCUCUAUGUUGCCCAGGGCGCAACGACUCCUGCAACAGAGGGUGUUUCUGUGACGAGAUCUGCGUGACAUUGAAUGACUGCUGUCCUGACUAUAAAUCAACCUGUAAACAAUCAGACAGUACAACACUUGCACCACUUAAUGUGACCACAACCUCAGGAUCCAGUCUUUCUUCAACAUUUUCUCCCACCUCUAGUAAUUCAGCUAUAGCGAUUGCUCACCUAAAAGUGUCCUUACUAUCUAAUUUUGAAACCAAAGAACGAGCGAUAUUAGAAAUUUCAUCUUUUCUUCAGAGACUUGUGCAGCAGAGAUGUACUGGCUGUGCCGUGACGGUAAAACCCGUGUGAGGCGUUGGACAAUGAAAGGAUGAAUUAGAAUGAAGCAACACGAUGAUGACAGACUCCAACACUCACAAUAAAAUCUAAUUAAAAUCUAAUUAAACCGGUAAAGUUAACUGACUGUUUCAGAAUGAAUAAAGUGACAGACACUUUUUCUCAACUAGCAGUAUAUGCAUGUUUCUAAGUUCUUAUA